rnacentral:rRNA from 1 species
CGCGAGAGUAAGCUAAUCUCUUAAAGCCGUUCUCAGUUCGGACUGUAGGCUGCAACUCGCCUACACGAAGUCGGAAUCGCUAGUAAUCGCGGAUCAGAAUGUCGCGGUGAAUACGUUCCCGGGUCUUGUACACACCGCCCGUCACACCAUGGGAGUUGGUAACGCCCGAAGUCAGUGACCCCAACCUUAGGGAGGGAGCUGCCGAAGGCGGGACUGAUAACUGGGGUNAAGUCGUAACAAGGUAUC